GCCCUCCACCUCUCUCUCUCGCCUCAACCACGCCCUCCUCCCCUCCUUUGGCUAAAGCAGCCACGCACCCUGCGUGAACCCUAUCCUCUCCACCUGCUUUUCCCCUCCCUUUUCCCCUUCUCCACGAAAACACAGGAGGCAGAGAACCCCACGGCCAUCAUCGGCCUCUCUACGCCGCCGUCGACUCCGGCCCUCCCCCGCCAAGCCACCACCACCAGGAGCUGCACCUCGUUCUCCUCGUUCGCCUGGUACACCUAAUCGAGACGGGGGCGCCUUGAAUCGCCGCCGAAUCGCCGUUCCCCUUCUUCGUCUCCGGCAGCAAUUCGUCGAAAUUCCGGCGCCACCCUCCUCCUCUGUCCUCGCCGUCGACGCGUAGAGCUCCAGGAUCCUCGCCGCCGGCGCCACUCCGGCGACCUCCAGUGGGCGGCGCCACCUCCUCUUGGUCUGCGCCAGCGAGGCGCGUCGUUUGCGCCAGUUUGCGCGUCCUGGGGCGCCCUGCUUCGCCCGGGCGUUCGCCAUGCCGCCGUGGUCACCGCCGCCCGCGCUGGCGUCCCCUCGUCGAACAGCUUCCAUGCGUCCCGCACGCUUUGCCACGGUGGCGGCCACGUCACCUUCCGGCCACACACGUCAGUGAAACGGGCUAGCCAGCCCCCGGUGAGAAACCCGCAUCCGAUCUAGAUCUAAACAUGUUUGCAGAAAGGCCCCUGCCUUUUUGUUCUUCUCAACCCGGCGCCCUUAUCCCUGUUGGUUUUCCACAAAACCCCCUGCAGGUUGCUGUACCCGACCCGGGCCCCCUUCUGCCUAGUCAGCUCCGUAGCAGCGCCCCUGGGCCCGCUCGUCAGCCUCUGUGGCUAGCCUUUCACCGGUACAAGAUGACGACGUUAGCAAGGUUACCCUUCCGGCUUGGCCUGGGCAGGGUUAUGGACGCCACUGGUUAUCUUCAGGACUCUUAGUCCAAUUUGUAUCUUGUCCGUACUCGGACGUAUUUGAUCUUCUGUAUGAUUUGGAUCUUUGUAUUGUAUAUUUGUAUCUUGACUCGUUGGAGUCGUUGUUGUAAUAUAUGUCUCUUGUGGGCUCUAUUGUAAUCCUGCUGUAAUGUUA